AAAUACAGUUAAUGCAAUAUUAAUCGCCCUUUGGUGAUAUAAAAUGCAAUAUUUUCAGGCAGCUAUUGAGCUUUUCCAGAGGAAGAGCUGAUGAAAAGAGUCACAGCUGAAUAGUGGAGAGAAAAAGCCUGGUAUUUAUUGCUUUUGUUUGGCUUUUGGCUACAGAGACAGGAACCUUCUAAUGGGCCCUGCACUGCCAGCCUGGGUGGGCAGAACAUAACCAAGAUGACCACCAGAAACUCAGAGGUCCCCUCAGAUAAGUGGUGGAGAGAUAGAAGACAAAGAGGAGCAGAAGGAUGUGGGCACAAUGAAGAGACACAAAAAUGGAGCGAGGAACAACCUGAUAUAUGGUCAGCAGAGUAUAGCAAAGAUGAGAAGUCAACAAAAUUCGUGUAUCAUAGCUGAUUCAUAAAAAAGAUUAUUUCUGCUAAGACUGGCAUAGGUGUGAGAAGUGGGCCUGAUUCAGAUGGUCCACAGAAGCUGACUGUCUCCUGAAGGCUCCAAGGGGAGAUCUUUGCCAGCUGCAGAUAGUUUAAAUCUGAGGAAUCUGGAGAGAGACCAAAUGCCACAGCCCAGAGAGUGUUGGGAGCUCACAGAAAGAGCAAGGCUGCUUCUGCUUCACCCUUGCUGCUUUCGGUAGCUGCUGUGUGAUAAGAAGUUGGAGAUCUCCUGAAAGGAUGGCUGGACUGGCUCCAAGGAACCCAGGGCCCUAACCAGCAGGAAGCAGCUAAGAGAACUGCGCCCCCUCUCCCACUAACCCUUUCCCUCUCCUGCCUGGUGUUGGGGUGUUGGAAAGGAUUAAGGUGGAGUUGGAAGAAAAAGAUAAAAGAUUUUUUGUUUGUUUUGUUUUUAAGGAUACCAACAGUCCCUAAAUCAUAUCUCCUCAGAAAAGCCUAAGUUCUCCACAUAGGCAUCACAUCCUAAAGUUUCCAUAGCCUUCCAAAGCAGACAUCAGCUAGGAAUCAGGAAGCUCCACUUAAUAUUUUGAUGUCGACCUCUGCAUCAGGUCCUAUCAGUUGCUGGGUGAAGCCUCUCUGGUGACAUAUAUGCUAGGCUCCUGUCUGCAAGUAUGGCAGAAUAUGUAGUUCAUUUUUAAAGAACUAUAUGUUUAUUAUUUGAAUAUUGUAGAUAUUAAUGCUCUGUUGGAUAAAUAACUACCCACAAUUAUGUCCCAUUUUAUAAGCUGUCUCUUCUCUGAAUUAACUACACUGAUUUUUUAAAAAUUUUAUAGAGUCCUACCUGUCAAUUACUGUUAUUAAUGAAAUCCUUUCCUGUACUGUCAGCGGAUUAGUGAGUGCACCGUGACGAUUUUUAUUGACACUAUUAUUUGUUUAUUAAUGUACUGCAUUGGCUAAGUAGAUCCUAUUUUUGAAAUACAUUUAAAUAAAUCAUACAUAA